rnacentral:miRNA from 1 species
UAUCACAGCCACAUUUGAUGCGC